GACGAACGCUGGCGGCGUGCUUAACACAUGCAAGUCGAACGGAAAGGCCCUGCUUUUGUGGGGUGCUCGAGUGGCGAACGGGUGAGUAACACGUGAGUAACCUGCCCUUGACUUUGGGAUAACUUCAGGAAACUGGGGCUAAUACCGGAUAGGAGCUCCUGCUGCAUGGUGGGGGUUGGAAAGUUUCGGCGGUUGGGGAUGGACUCGCGGCUUAUCAGCUUGGUGGUGGGGUAGUGGCUUACCAAGGCGUUGACGGGUAGCCGGCCUGAGAGGGUGACCGGCCACAUUGGGACUGAGAUACGGCCCAGACUCCUACGGGAGGCAGCAGUGGGGAAUAUUGCACAAUGGGCGGAAGCCUGAUGCAGCAACGCCGCGUGCGGGAUGACGGCCUUCGGGUUGUAAACCGCUUUCGCCUGUGACGAAGCGUGAGUGACGGUAAUGGGUGAAGAAGCACCGGCUAACUACGUG
rnacentral:rRNA from 1 species